rnacentral:tRNA from 1 species
UCUAAUAUGGCAGAAUAGUGCAAUGAAUUUAAGCUUCAUACAUAAAGUUUAACUUUUGUUAGAA